UUACGGCCAAAUCACUUUCAAUCACCGGUUCUCAUACGGUCACCAAAGUUAAGCAACGUCGGGCUUGAUCAGUACCUAUAUGGGCGACCGCUUUUGAAAUAUCAGGUGCUGUAAG